rnacentral:rRNA from 1 species
UGGGGAAUAUUGCGCAAUGGACGAAAGUCUGACGCAGCGACGCCGCGUGUGGGAUGAAGCUCUUCGGGGUGUAAACCACUGUUGCCCGGGACGAACCUCCCCUUUCGAGGGGACUGACGGUACCGGGUGAGGAAGCACCGGCUAACUCUGUGCCAGCAGCCGCGGUAAUACAGAGGGUGCGAGCGUUGUCCGGAAUCACUGGGCGUAAAGGGCGCGUAGGUGGCUUGGUUAGCGUGCGGUGAAAGCUCGGGGCUCAACCCCGAGUCGGCCGUGCGAACUGCCGAGCUCGAGCAUGGUAGAGGCAGGUGGAAUUCCGGGUGUAGCGGUGGAAUGCGUAGAUAUCCGGAAGAACACCGGUGGCGAAGGCGGCCUGCUGGGCCAUUGCUGACACUGAGGCGCGACAGCGUGGGGAGCAAACAGGAUU